GAAAAAUUAGUUAUAAUUUUAAAAUAAAUAUUACUUGUUAGUUUUCAAAAGAGAAAUUCUUUCAAAUAACUUUUUUAAGGUUUUGUCACAAAAAUAACUCUCAAAAAAAUAAAAUUACGAAAUAGCCCUUUUUUAUUUUGAAAAUUUUAAUAUUUAAUUUUUAUUUUUUAAAAUUUGAAACUCCAUCCCCAAAAUCUCAUCCCU
rnacentral:lncRNA from 1 species